rnacentral:rRNA from 1 species
GACGAACGCUGGCGGCGUGCUUAACACAUGCAAGUCGAACGAUGAAGCCUAGCUUGCUAGGUGGAUUAGUGGCGAACGGGUGAGUAAUACGUGAGUAACCUACCUUUAACUCUGGGAUAAGCCUGGGAAACUGGGUCUAAUACCGGAUACGACCGAUCUCCGCAUGGGGUGUUGGUGGAAAGCGUUAUGUAGUGGUUAUAGAUGGGCUCACGGCCUAUCAGCUUGUUGGUGAGGUAACGGCUCACCAAGGCGACGACGGGUAGCCGGCCUGAGAGGGUGACCGGCCACACUGGGACUGAGACACGGCCCAGACUCCUACGGGAGGCAGCAGUGGGGAAUAUUGCACAAUGGGCGCAAGCCUGAUGCAGCGACGCCGCGUGAGGGAUGACGGCCUUCGGGUUGUAAACCUCUGUUAGCAGGGAAGAAGAGAAAUUGACGGUACCUGCAGAGAAAGCGCCGGCUAACUACGUGCCAGCAGCCGCGGUAAUACGUAGGGCGCGAGCGUUGUCCGGAAUUAUUGGGCGUAAAGAGCUUGUAGGCGGUUUGUCGCGUCUGCUGUGAAAGGCCGGGGCUUAACCCCGUGUAUUGCAGUGGGUACGGGCAGACUAGAGUGCAGUAUGGGAGACUGGAAUUCCUGGUGUAGCGGUGGAAUGCGCAGAUAUCAGGAGGAACACCGAUGGCGAAGGCAGGUCUCUGGGGCUGUAACUGACGCUGAGAAGCGAAAGCAUGGGGAGCGAACAGG